rnacentral:lncRNA from 1 species
UGAUUUACAUUUUCUCCAAGGUAAAUCAUAGCUUGCUUAGCCUCCAAGUAGUCUUUACUUCAGCUCUAAGUCGGUACCAAUUCCAGUCUUCAAGUCAGCUUCACAGCUUCACUUCAUGUAGCACUUCUUGUACUACUUCAUGUAGUACUUCACGGCUGGUACAUGGACACCUUGAGGAGUUGUUUUUCUUGAGCUUCUAAAACUCAGUCGUCACUGCACUAACAUUAUGUACUCAUAGAUCUUUUUUAGAUUGAGUGUAUAAGUGUUUCUCGUUUAUUUCUUUGUUCCUCAAACUUGUUUUGGUUGAUUAUUUAUCAAUGCAGUCGUU